UAUGUGAUCGUCUCUCGCAUAUCAAUAAGCGGAGGAAAAGAAACUAACAAGGAUUCCCCUAGUAACGGCGAGUGAAGCGGGAAGAGCUCAAAUUUGAAAUCUUAAAGGGUUUCCCUUUACGAAUUGUAGUUUAAAGAAGUGUUUUCUGUUGAGGUUUUGGUAAAAGUUCUUUGGAAUAGGACAUCAUAGAGGGUGAGAAUCCCGUAUUUGACCUUUACUUUCAACUUUGUGAUACACUUUCAAAGAGUCAGGAUUGUUUGGGAAUGCAGUCCAAAAUGGGUGGUAAAUUUCAUCUAAAGCUAAAUAUUGGCGAGAGACCGAUAGCGAACAAGUACCGUGAGGGAAAGAUGAAAGAACUUUGAAAAGAGAGUUAAACAGUACGUGAAAUUGUCAAAAGGGAAGCGUUUGACACCAGUGUUGUUUUUCUGAAAAUCAAUUAAAGAACUGUUUAUGCUAAGUUGUUUAGACUUUAUCAGCUAACUGUUUAGUUUUGAGCUUUUCUUUAAUGCACUUCUCAGUUAACAAGUCAACAGUCAAUUUCUUUUGCUGUAAAAAAGCUUGAGGAAGGUGGCUUGAGAUUCGUCUUAAGUGUUUAUAGCCUCUUGCCUAUGCAGUCGGAGAGAUUGAGGUCUGCAGCGUAGAUCCUUCGGGGCUAAAUGCAUUUGUGCUAAGUUAUAGCAUUUUAUAGACAACUUGUUGACUAUGAUUUGUCUUGUAGCUUACUCGCUUAUGUUAUUUUACCUACGCUUAGGAUGUUGACUGAUAUGUAGUCGUA
rnacentral:rRNA from 1 species